AAUUGACGUAGGGGGAAAUCAAUCUGAUACUAGUAUAUACAUGUACAUGUUUAACCAUACAAAAAUAAGGAGAUAUGGUAUUGUAGAGUACGAAGACUAGGGUACAUGUAUUUUAUUGUGACGUGUGAUAGACAUGUAAGUCUAGUACAUAGACAUGCAAGAUACUUUUGAUGUAUGUUUUAAAUUGGUAUUAAUAUAGCAUACUGUUUAAUAUUCUGUAUUUUUUAUGAAAGUUAUUAGGGAGGAAACAGUAACUGUGUGAAAUAACUUGUAUUAUACUAAUUGUAAUGCUUGUAGUCUGGAAC
rnacentral:lncRNA from 1 species